rnacentral:rRNA from 1 species
GAUGAACGCUGGCGGCGUGCCUAAUACAUGCAAGUCGAGCGAACAGACGAGGAUCUUGCUCCUCUGACGUUAGCGGCGGACGGGUGAGUAACACGUGGAUAACCUACCUAUAAGACUGGGAUAACUUCGGGAAACCGGAGCUAAUACCUGAUAAUAUAUUUAACCUCAUGGUUCAAUAGUGAAAGACGGUUUUGCUGUCACUUAUAGAUGGAUCCGCGCCGCAUUAGCUAGUUGGUAAGGUAACGGCUUACCAAGGCAACGAUGCGUAGCCGACCUGAGAGGGUGAUCGGCCACACUGGAACUGAGACACGGUCCAGACUACAACGGGAGGCAGCAGUAGGGAAUCUUCCGCAAUGGGCGAAAGCCUGACGGAGCAACGCCGAGUGGGUGAUGAAGGUCUUCGGAUCGUAAAACUCUGUUAUUAGGGAAGAACAAAUGUGUAAGUAACUAUGCACGUCUUGACGGUACCUAAUCAGAAAGCCACGGCUAACUACGUG